rnacentral:rRNA from 1 species
AGCGAACGCUGGCGGCAGGCCUAACACAUGCAAGUCGAACGAACCUUUCGGGGUUAGUGGCGGACGGGUGAGUAACACGUGGGAACGUGCCUUUAGGUUCGGAAUAACUCAGGGAAACUUGUUCUAAUACCGAAUGUGCCCUUCGGGGGAAAGAUUUAUCGCCUUUAGAGCGGCCCGCGUCUGAUUAGCUAGUUGGUUGAGGUAAUGGCUCACCAAGGCGACGAUCAGUAGCUGGUCUGAGAGGAUGAUCAGCCACAUUGGGACUGAGACACGGCCCAAACUCAUACGGGAGGCAGCAGUGGGGAAUCUUGCGCAAUGGGCGAAAGCCUGACGCAGCCAUGCCGCGUGAAUGAUGAAGGUCUUAGGAUUGUAAAAUUCUUUCACCGGGGACGAUAAUGACGGUACCCGGAGAAGAAGCCCCGGCUAACUUCGUG